AUUGAACGCUGGCGGCAGGCCUAACACAUGCGAGUCGAGCGAGCGGCGGACGGGUGAGUAAUGUAUGGGGAUCUGCCCGAUAGAGGGGGAUAACUCCUGGAAACGGUAGCUAAUACCGCAUACUAUCGGAUGACCCCAUAUGGGAUUAGCUAGUAGGUGGGGUAAAGGCUCACCUAGGCGACGAUCCCUAGCGGGUCUGAGAGGAUGAUCAGCCACACUGGAACGGAGACACGGACCAGACUCCUACGGGAGGCAGCAGUGGGGAAUAUUGCACAAUGGGCGCAAGCCGGAUGCAGCCAUGCCGCGUGUAUGAAGAAGGCCUUAGGGUUGUAAAGUACUUUCAGCGGGGAGGCGUUACCCGCAGAAGAAGCACCGGCUAACUCCGUGCCAGCCGCCGCGGUAAUAC
rnacentral:rRNA from 1 species